AAGUAUAUAACAAGGGGGGAACAGUUAGUGCUGAUUUUCAUUUGCAUAAAUUUUCAUAUAUUUUGGUGAAAAUAAUAGACUAGCGGAGAGCUCGGCUUAGUGGAGUCAGUGGAAAGGAAAGUCUUGGGAUAGAGCGUGCCGUUGGAGUUGAGAACAUUGCUCUCUCCCUGCCUCUUUAUUAAAUCCCCCAAAAUAAAACUUCUUUCUUUAAAAAAAAAUCUAAUCCUGGAAGUUUGCUCGGCACAAAAGACAUGGACUUUACAUAUGUCAAAUCAUCAUCCCAGCCUGGUGCUCCACAGAACAUUAUACUGCCAUGGAGAAUUUCUGGAUGCAGGGAUCACCACCCUUUUGAGGUGUAUGUGGGCUGGGGAGAGUGAAGUCACUACUUUCCAUAGAAGAUAUUGCACUCUAUAAGGUUUAGCAGCAUCUCACUAACACCUCUUCUGCUCCUAGGAGCCCUCCUCAACUCAUGUAAACUUUGGGUCUUUAAUGUCAUCCAUUAUUGUGGACCAAAUUCUGUGUUUUGUCAGUUUCCUGUUGAUAAUCUGUCAGAGAUCUUCUGGGUUAAAGGGAAAGCCCACAGUGAAUACUGACUGAAUUCA